CCCUUAGAUGUUCUGGGCCGCACACGCGCUACACUGAAGGAGGCAGCGUGUACUCCUGGAUCGAAAGAUUUGGGUAACCCGCGAAUCUCCUUCGUGCUAGGGAUUGAGGUUUGCAAUUAUCCUUCAUGAACGAGGAAUUCCCAGUAAGUGCAAGUCAUAAGCUUGCGCUGACUACGUCCCUGCCCUUUGUACACACCGCCCGUCGCUCCUACCGAUUGAAUGGUCCGGUGAAAAUUUCGGAUACCGGCAUUGCUGGCGGUUCGCCGCCGGCGACGCUGGUAGAAGAUCUUUAAACCUUAUCAUUUAGAGGAAGGAGAAGUCGUAACA
rnacentral:rRNA from 1 species